rnacentral:rRNA from 1 species
CUAAGGCCCCUAAUUCGUGGCUAAGUGGGAAAGCAUGUGGGACGGCCAAAACAACCAGGAGGUUGGCUUAGAAGCAGCCAUCCUUUAAAGAAAGCGUAAUAGCUCACUGGUCUAAUAGCUGUUCUGCGGCGAAAAUGUAACGGGGCUCAAGCCACGAGCCGAAGACGUGGGUUGCGAUGAUCCUAGCGGAUCUUGCAGCGGUAGCGGAGCGUUCCCUAGGCCUGUGAAGGGAUACCCGUGAGGGGUCCUGGAGGUAUGGGAAGUGCGAAUGCGGACAUGAGUAGCGACAAAGAGGGUGAGAACCCCUCUCGCCGAAAGUCCAAGGGUUCCUGCGCAAGGCCAAUCCGCGCAGGGUGAGCCGGCCCCUAAGGCGAGGGCGACAGCCGUAGCCGAUGGAAACAGGGUGAAUAUUCCCUGGCCCCCCAGAUGUGACGACCCUGAAGCGCGGUUCCCUCUUAUUGGAUUGAGGGGGCAGGUGGAUGGGUCCAGGAAACAGCACUGGGAUUAUGGACCGUACCCUAAACCGACACAGGUGGACUGGUUGAGUAUACCGAGGCGCUUGAGAGAACCAUGCUGAAGGAACUAGGCAAAUUGCUCGCGUAACUUCGGGAUAAGCGAGACCCCAUGGCACGCAAGUGUUGUGGGGUGGCACAGACCAGGGGGUGGCGACUGUUUAGUAAAAACACAGGGCUCUGCGAAAUCGAGAGAUGACGUAUAGGGUCUGACGCCUGCCCGGUGCCGGAAGGUUAAAGGGAGAUGUGAAAGCAUUGAACUGAAGCCCCGGUAAACGGCGGCCGUAACUAUAACGGUCCUAAGGUAGCGAAAUUCCUUGUCGGGUAAGUUCCGACCUGCACGAAUGGCGUAACGACCUCCCCACUGUCUCCAGCAUGGACUCAGCGAAAUUGAAUUCCCCGUGAAGAUGCGGGGUACCCGUGGUCAGACGGAAAGACCCUAUGAACCUUUACUGCAGCUUGGCAGUGGCGCCAGGAAGGGACUGUGUAGGAUAGGUGGGAGCCGAUGAAGCCGGGGCGCUAGCCUUGGUGGAGGCAACCUUGAAAUACCACCCUGUGCCUUUCUGGCGUCUAACCGAGACCCGUUAGCCGGGUCCGGGACCCUGUCUGGUGGGCAGUUUGACUGGGGCGGUCGCCUCCCAAAGUGUAACGGAGGCGCGCGAUGGUGGGCUCAGGCCGGUCGGACAUCGGCUGUUGAGUGCAAAGGCACAAGCCCGCCUGACUGUGAGCGCGACAGCGCGAACAGAGACGAAAGUCGGCCUUAGUGAUCCGGUGGUCCCGCGUGGAAGGGCCA